rnacentral:pre_miRNA from 1 species
CUAGCAGGUGGGUGGUUCUCGUCCUUACAACGGCGAAGACAGAUUACCAUUCUGCCACCCUGUUUUGUCCUGUGUAUGGACGAGAACCGGCCGCUUGCAUG